CCUACGGGGGGCAGCAGUGGGGAAUAUUGGACAAUGGGGGGAACCCUGAUCCAGCCAUGCCGCGUGUGUGAAGAAGGCCCUCGGGUUGUAAAGCACUUUCAGUGAGGAAGAACGCCUGGUGGUUAAUACCCAUCAGGAAAGACAUCACUCACAGAAGAAGCACCGGCUAACUCCGUGCCAGCAGCCGCGGUAAUACGGAGGGUGCGAGCGUUAAUCGGAAUUACUGGGCGUAGAGCGCGCGUAGGUGGCUUGAUAAGCCGGUUGUGAAAGCCCCGGGCUCAACCUGGGAACGGCAUCCGGAACUGUCAAGCUAGAGUGCAGGAGAGGAAGGUAGAAUUCCCGGUGUAGCGGUGAAAUGCGUAGAGAUCGGGAGGAAUACCAGUGGCGAAGGCGGCCUUCUGGACUGACACUGACACUGAGGUGCGAAAGCGUGGGUAGCAAACAGGAUUAGAUACCCUAGUAGUC
rnacentral:rRNA from 1 species